rnacentral:rRNA from 1 species
CUAUCAGCUUGUUGGUGAGGUAAUGGCUCACCAAGGCGACGACGGGUAGCCGGCCUGAGAGGGUGACCGGCCACACUGGGACUGAGACACGGCCCAGACUCCUACGGGAGGCAGCAGUGGGGAAUAUUGCACAAUGGGCGAAAGCCUGAUGCAGCAACGCCGCGUGAGGGAUGACGGCCUUCGGGUUGUAAACCUCUUUUAGUAGGGAAGAAGCGAAAGUGACGGUACCUGCAGAAAAAGCACCGGCUAACUACGUGCCAGCAGCCGCGGUAAUACGUAGGGUGCAAGCGUUGUCCGGAAUUAUUGGGCGUAAAGAGCUCGUAGGCGGUUUGUCGCGUCUGCUGUGAAAUCCCGAGGCUCAACCUCGGGCUUGCAGUGGGUACGGGCAGACUA